GCACCUAUAUCUUUCCCAUUCUUUGCUGCUUCGUGCUGGUGUGGGGACAGAUGGUGCUACAGUAUGAGCAGAGGAAAUCCAGACAGGGUGGGAUCCUCUAGAGUCGACCUGCAGGCAUG
rnacentral:snoRNA from 1 species